AUGGAGGUAAGGCACGCACGAUGCAUCGGGCAGCUGCAAUCCGUCCUCUCUCUCCAAAGUCCAAAUGCAGACGAGACGCAACACCGUGCACAGGAAAGACAUACACGCGCACUAGACACAGGAGUAGCAGCCGCCGAGCGGGACCAGAGCAGCGGCGGCCCACCUGUCAUCAUGCUAGACAAAUGCGUGUGCACAAUCCGGGUGCACAUGCGUCGACCCACCCCUUCUGCAGCUGAUGCAGGACACACAACUCCCCACGACGCACGACGCACUACGCGGGAAGCGCGUGAGGAGCGCCGCGCAAGGAGCGGUUGA
rnacentral:rRNA from 1 species